rnacentral:misc_RNA from 1 species
UUGAAGUUUCUUGCAAUUGCCUCUCUAUUUUCUUCUCUCCUUCACGGGCAAAAGCUGAAAUUUCUUCUAUUCUUGCAUCAAACAAGAAGCUUGACUUAGGCUUUUGGUCAAAAACACAAGUAAGAGGAAUCUCCUUUGGCUCUUUCAAAAAUUUUUAGUUUCAUUCCUCAAUAUUGAAAUUUUAUAAUGUAUUAAAGUAGGAAUUUGCCUUAUAUGUUUAAGCUUUUGUUGAGAAUUUUACUAUGGUUGUUGAAACUCCUUUGAACAUUAUUGAUUUUGUUGGGAAUUUUAC